rnacentral:misc_RNA from 1 species
AAGACUAUAGACCUGCGGAGUACCUGCGGAGGGAUCAUUACAGAGUUGCAAAACUCCAAACCAUUGUGAACUUACCUUUGCCGUUGCUUCGGCGGGCGGCCCGGGUCCCGACCCGGCGCCCCCCGGCCCCGUCAGGGGCGCCCGCCGGAGGUAAACCAAACUCUUGAAUUGUAUGGCCUCUCUGAGUCUUCUGUACUGAAUAAGUCAAAACUUUUAACAACGGAUCUCUAGAUCGGAAGA